rnacentral:lncRNA from 1 species
UCAUCCGCCGGUUCUGGAACCAAAUCUUCACUGGGUCUCGGUGAGCAUGAGCGAGGUGGCCACCUCGAAGCGCUUGGGCCGCGACAGGUACUUGUUGAGCUUGAACUGGUGCUCCAGCUCCAGCAGCUGCUGGCUGGUGAAGGCGGUGCGCGGCCGGCGGCACUUCCCCAGGAGGUUCGACUGCGCCUGGGUAAUUCAGGGCGCUCUCGGCUCGCCUUCCCCCGGCGACUUCCUUCUCCUGCAGCCUUCGGGUUAAUCAUUAGAUCUCAGUCUCACACCUCCAACUGCCCCUUCCCGU